UACGGAGGGGGCUAGCGUUGUUCGGAAUUACUGGGCGUAAAGCGCGCGUAGGCGGCGGCAUAAGUCAGAGGUGAAAGCCCGGAGCUCAACUUCGGAUGUGCCUUUGAGACUGUGUUGCUAGAAUCCGGGAGAGGUGAGUGGAAUUCCGAGUGUAGAGGUGAAAUUCGUAGAUAUUCGGAAGAACACCAGUGGCGAAGGCGGCUCACUGGACCGGUAUUGACGCUGAGGUGCGAAAGCGUGGGGAGCAAACAGG
rnacentral:rRNA from 1 species